CCAGAGCACGAUACAUCCACGCUGACAAAGAAAGGCAGUGAUGACUUGGUUGUGAACACCCAGAGCACGAUACAUCAAUGCUGACAAAGAAAGGCAGUAAUGACUUGGUUGUGAACAUCCAGAGCACGAUACAUCCAUACUGACAUAGAAAGACAGUAAUGACUUGGUUGGUUAUCAAAACUCAAACUCAGCCCUUUGCAAUAUCACACCUUGCAACACAGUGUACUUUACCAUGAAUGUUUCGCGGUUUAAAACACCAAAAUUUCAAUUUAAAGUUUGUGCGCGUAACAUAUUGAUACAUUGCUAUUCUGAGUUCUAAUCGCGAUAUCCUAAAUAUCAAUACUAGAUGAAAUGUUUGGCAUUAAAAAACAGGUGUGUAAAGUAAUUUGUUACAGUGCAUAUUCAUUUGUCAUUAAAAAAAUCAGGGUUUAGUUUGCUUGUCAUUUCCUUUUUAGCAAACAUUAUUAGACAACAAAACGAACGUGUGUAAGUGAAAGUCCAAGACAAGUCCAACCCAGUUUGGGCACAAAUACAACAACUAAUUAAAGAAAUUCAGUUUGUCUUGUGUCAGCCUUCAUGUAGCAAGCCUCUUAUAAACAUCACUCAAGUUGGCUACAUCAACGCUUCCAACAGCGGAGCUGGGCAUCGACACAUUGUUCCGAAUGAGUCGCUCGAACUGAAACGAUCUGAUCCAACAGAGAGCAGGCUCUGCAUGACUCGUCUGUUAAUGUGACUGACCUGGAUAUGUUGCUUUCCAAUAAUUAGAACAGUACUCCAUAUUAGCUGUCUGCGGUUGACGCAAUUCAACAACAGUUGUUGUCAGUAAUUUCUGGCUUUGGGAUGGCGAUUUGGCAUCGGGGCUUCAUCUCUGUCUUUGGCCUGGUCGCAGCAGAAGCAGCAACAAGAACAACAAUUAGUAUAAGAGACAUGAUCUGGGAUAUGGGGCUUCAUAGCCUGUUCCUAUAGGAAUCCAUGCAAUCAUAGAUCGGUACCAAGCUGAACAACAGGCUGUCUGGUCAGCUGGGCCCAGACUCCCAGUGACCUUGGGGCCAAUGCUCAACUAGUCCUACCCGCAGGGUGGAGCCACUCUUAACCUGAGGCUCCAUACUUUCUUGGCCAGGGGCCAAGAUUACUUUGUCAAUAAGAGGCCUUAUACUCACAAGUUCAAGCCAAGUGAGCGAUGUUCACCAAAUCAAACUCUACAUCUCAAUAGAAACCCGGAUAUCAAAGCGUUGAGCUUGUUCUUGAAGCAUUUGCACCAGCAACAGUCAUCAUCUCGAGUUACUGGCAUCUCUAUGGUGUGGAACCCUCCGUCUACGAACAUCAUAACAGCACAUAAACCAGUGGCAGUCAUCAUCUCAAGAUUCUGGUAUAUCCAUUGUGCAGGACCCUCGGUCUGUAAAGAUCAUGCAAAGCAAACCUUAGAUGCCAUUUGACGAAAUCAAACCAUCCAAUCAGAAACAGAGCCUGUUGCAGCAGUUGUUACCAUAUUGACCCCUGUCAAACCUAAGAAGUCCAUAGAUAAAUACUUUUUUAGAUGUGCUUGUCUCUACGUACCUACUGGUUUGUUCAGCACUUACUCUUUGAAUUGUAUGACGAGUGAAAAUGAAUGACCUUGUUCAGUUUGAAAUGGCAGAAUGACACAUCACAACAAUUUAAGUGGAAAGCCCGAAAGUCAUGUCAACAGCCACAUUUUGUAUGUGUAACAGCCAAGUUGUUUUCAAAGAAAAUGAAAAGUUUACGUUUUAUUUUUUAUGUGACCAAUGUUUCAUUGGUAUUAUGAUGCUGUCAGUCUCUUUAUGUUGAAAGUUUUGGUUAAAUAUAGCAUGUUAAGUAUUUUUUUAAAGCACACAUAUUGCAUUUAUAUCCAAUGUCUUUUUCUGUAUAAUGAAUUUUUCACUACAUAUUUUGAUCCUUAUAAUGGUAAAUGUAUGGGAAAAACAAUUUUAUCAUGGAUAUUCUAAGAUUGUCAAGUCUGUUUAAAUGAUGCUGGUAACUUUGACAAAAUU